GGGGGAUAUUGCACAAUGGAGGAAACUCUGAUGCGGCGACGCCGCGUGAGGGAAGAAGGUUUUCGGAUUGUAAACCUCUGUCUUCGGGGACGAAACAAAUGACGGUACUCGAGGAGGAAGCCACGGCUAACUACGUGCCAGCAGCCGCGGUAAUACGUAGGUGGCAAGCAUUGUCCGGAAUUACUGGGUGUAAAGGGAGCGCAGGCGGAACUGCAAGUUGGGUGUUUAAUCUACGGGCUCAACCCGUAUCAGCAUUCAAAACUGUGGUUCUUGGGGAAAGGAGAGGGAGGGGGAAAUUCCGGGGGAGGGGGUGAAAGCGGAAAUAUUCGGAGGAAAAACAAGGGGGGAAGGGGGCCAACUGGCAUCAACUGACGCUGAGGCUCGAAAGCAUGGGUAGCAAACA
rnacentral:rRNA from 1 species